rnacentral:rRNA from 1 species
UACGAACCGUACAAACGUUAUUCGGAAUCACUGGGCUUAAAGGGUGCGUAGGCGGCCAUGUAAGUGAGGUGUGAAAUCCCUCGGCUCAACCGAGGAACUGCGCUUCAUACUGCAUGGCUUGAGGGAGACAGGGGUAAGCGGAACUGAUGGUGGAGCGGUGAAAUGCGUUGAUAUCAUCAGGAACACCGGUGGCGAAAGCGGCUUACUGGGUCUCUUCUGACGCUGAUGAGCGAAAGCCAGGGGAGCAAACGGG